UAAAAAAGUGCGUGACCAUUUUAACUUUCAAUGGGAGCCCUGAGCUUGUUUCGCUGCAACGAGAUGCUCCCAUCUGGGGGUAAUUGGAGACAAUGACACCCGAAGUGUGUUGCUUAUGUCCAGUCUGCUCCGUUGUCUUGUUUUGGUUGCUGUCACUGCAGUAAACCCCGCUUCACACAGACAGGUUGUCGGAAAUGGCAGCAGGUUUUUCAGUGCUGUGGUGGCAAUCUCCGGGUAUUCUGCCAUGACUUUAAUCCAGGACAUCGGUUGUUGUCUCGAAAGUGCUUUUAAAGCCGCCGUCGUUUGCGAUCUCCAGCAGUUGAUCUUCUUCUUCAGACGUGCUGGAUUCACCUGGCUUGUUGAUAAAUGGGUCACGGAUCCAUCCCUUGCCAGUUCCUGGGUCCUUUUUGGUUGGGAAGCAGCGCUCGAACUCUUUUAAAAGCAAAGAUCGUGCACCAGCUGUGAGAAUGAAUUCUCAGGCUCAGUCUCACAAAAAUCCCUGCUAAUGUCUGAAACAUGUCCAAUAUGCCUCUGUUCACGCGCCGUCCCCACAAAUCCAGUUUAGCUUUAAAUGCAGCUACUUUAUCUGCCACCUUGAAGACUGUUGUCAUUUUCCCCUGAAGUGACAGAUUGGAGUCAUUGAGCAGGAGGAAUAUGUCGCCCAGUAACAGGACAGGAGACUCACCCAGUGAAUAAGAAUGCUGAGGCUUUUGAACUAAGCUUUUUAAUUGCUGUGACUUGCUCUAUCUCUUGAGCCAGCACCCAGCAGUUCUACCAACCCUUCCAAGUGUCAUACUCAUGACCUAGUAAAUGAAAUUGUGAUGCUGGAGAAAUGCAUGACAUGUUACACACCUCUGACAUCUUUCAAGUGGCAUGGAGUCUGAUGCAAAGGGUCGCCGGGCUCUUCCUUAGAGAUAGGGUGGGAAUCUCGGUGAUGCGUGAGAG